GGGCAACUAGCUCAGUUGGUUAGAGCGCUGCUUUCACACGGCAGAGGUCACAGGUUCAAAUCCCGUGUUGCCCA
rnacentral:tRNA from 1 species